rnacentral:rRNA from 1 species
UCAACUUGAGAGUUUGAUCCUGGCUCAGAACGAACGCUGGCGGCAGGCCUAACACAUGCAAGUCGAGCGAGACCUUCGGGUCUAGCGGCGGACGGGUUAGUAACGCGUGGGAACGUGCCCUUCUCUGCGGAAUAGCCACUGGAAACGGUGAGUAAUACCGCAUACGCCCUUUGGGGGAAAGAUUUAUCGGAGAAGGAUCGGCCCGCGUUAGAUUAGAUAGUUGGUGGGGUAAUGGCCUACCAAGUCUACGAUCUAUAGCUGGUUUUAGAGGAUGAUCAGCAACACUGGGACUGAGACACGGCCCAGACUCCUACGGGAGGCAGCAGUGGGGAAUCUUAGACAAUGGGCGCAAGCCUGAUCUAGCCAUGCCGCGUGUGUGAUGAAGGUCUUAGGAUCGUAAAGCACUUUCGCCAGGGAUGAUAAUGACAGUACCUGGUAAAGAAACCCCGGCUAACUCCGUGCCAGCAGCCGCGGUAAUACGGAGGGGGUU